GGUGGCGCAGUGGUAGCGCGGUGGACUGUUAAUCCAUGUGUCGCAGGUUCGAAUCCUGCCC
rnacentral:tRNA from 1 species